GCCCCUUUAAAACUGUCACAUACAACUUACAAGUUCCAACUUGAAUUGUACUGUGUAAAUCAGGCACUCAAUUCGCCCACUUUGUCGUUGGUGAGUUGUGUGCUUGACUCGGUACACAUCUUUACACGCAUUUAUUCGGAAUUUAACCGGAAUUUAAUGGAACCGGAAUUUAAUGCCAUUGGCCCUGUAAUCUGUAUCCAUGUUUUUUAAUUGACCU